AUGGGUAAGGGAACUGGAAGUUUCGGAAAGAGGAGGAACAAGACCCACACGCUCUGUGUGAGGUGCGGUCGCCGCAGUUUCCACCUUCAGAAAAGUCGGUGCUCGGCGUGUGCUUACCCUGCUGCUCGCGUCAGGAAAUAUAAUUGGAGUGUUAAGGCAAUCCGUAGAAAGACCACUGGAACUGGUAGGAUGAGGUACUUGCGCAACGUUCCUCGCCGAUUCAAGAGUGGCUUCAGAGAGGGAACUGAAGCUGCACCUAGGAAGAAGGGAGCUGUCACUGCUUAA